rnacentral:lncRNA from 1 species
AUCAAAUUUCCUCAUUCAUACUGUAUUUCACAUGUCUUAAAUCAAAGAACAUGUCUCUCUUCUGUCUUUUAUCAGUUGGGAACAAGUGAAGCUGCUCCAGCUGGGUCCUCCUGGCUGGAUAACUUGCUGCCAGUUUCCAAACAACGAUUCAAUAAGGAGAAACAGUGUAAAAAAGAAACUGAGAUCAAAGUUCAGACUCUGGAGGAGGUGCUGGAAAACGUGAGACAGAAGUUUAAAACACAGCUCCAGGCUGAGAAGGAGAGUAGGAUGAAGACUGAGACCUUGAAAAAUCAGCUGGAGAAGAAGAACACAGAGUUGGAAACAAAGCUCAAGGCUGAGGAAGAGAGGAAGAAGGAACUCGAGAAAAGGAACAGGGAGCUGAAUAAGACAAUCGCAGAGGUUUAUUGUUUUACCCAAAUCAGUUAUCUGUCAAGUGAUAUUAGUUGUUUAAUCUUUUGUGUAAAAGAGUAAUGUGUUGUUGAUACCAAGAAGCAGCUCACAAUGUAGCUCGGUCAAUCACAUUUCUGUUUUACUGUUGUCUCUUUAUCUUUUCUUCCACCCAAUUGAAAACACAGCUCCAGGCUUAAAAGAAGGGGACGUAGGCUGAGACCUUGAGCAGGAGAGGACAAUUACAGAGGUUUUUUAUUGCCCAAAUCAAUUAUCUGUCCAGUAAUGAAGCUCAUUCAAUCACAUUUCCUUCUGUUUUACUCUUCCGGAAGAGUAUUUAUUGGAAACAUAGUUUCUUCCUGAUUAAACCUUUGCUGAACGUUGUAAACUGAUUGAUAGAUACAGGAGGUGUAGGAGAAAACCAGAGAUCUUCAAAGAUGCUUUUGUAUAACAUUAGUUAUUCAUAGUUUAGAACCAAUCAGAAAUGAAAAUUCAACCAGAACACAUGUUGUGUGUAGACAAAGGUUUGAGUAAUAUUUUCUUUAUCUCUCCUUUGUUCCAGUUGAAAAACAUCUCCAGACAGGAUGAAGACUGAAUGGACUAUUUAUCCGACAAAACACAACUCACAUAAUGCUUUCUGGACACAAGACAAGCUUCCUUAAUUAGUUCAUUAGAGUUGACAAAAUAAGCUGAACCUCUUCAGUGCAGAUUUAAAUUCAACACUGUAAGAUCUUUUUAUAUGUGCUUGUGUCACACUGAACAAUACCCAUAUGUGGUGAAAAUGCUAUGUUAAAUAGGCAGAUUUGGAUUUAAUUUCUGUAUAAUAAAUGUUGUAUUGUAAUAUAUUUUACUAGAAGUGUAUCUUUAAAAUAUUUCAAACAUUUAACCUCAGUUAAGAUAAAAAUACGAUAAGGUACAUCUAAAAGUUACAGUUUCAGAAGCCCUGAGUGCUGAAAUAUAGUAUAACAGUACUAGGACGUUUAACUGUGCGUAUCCCUCUACUUAAUAUUUGUUCUAAUAAUCACUAAUUAUACCAGCUGCUAGUCCCUAACUUAAUGCUAAAGUGUAAGAAACUAUGGCAAAACAUUAUUAUUUUUUUUUCAGAACAGAAAAUAACAUUUUAAGUAAAUUAUGAAUGGUCGUCAGGAGAUGACAAGGACAGAACCUCAGUGAUCAGGCACAAGUGAAAUAAUGUUAAUUUUUAGGCUUUACAAGGUAAAGGUAAACCUAACAUUAUAAAUAUGGCUUAGAAAAUGUGAAAAACGUGUUCAUCUUGCAAGUCUGAAGAGUCAGUCCAAAGGUAUUGAAGAUCAUCCUCUGACAGCAAGAAACGAUGGAGCAAUGCAGCUGUUAUCUUGCUGUGGAUUCACACACAGUUUUGCUGAAUACUGUCCUCUAGUAAAUAGUGUUUGUCGAACUGUUGGAGAACAACAUCAAAUCGAGGUUGUGCUGUUGUACUAAAUAUCAGCAUGGCUGUGACACCUUCUGGAUGCAGCCUCGUGCCUACAACUGCAUCACAGGCUUGAUGAUUUCCAGUACAACAGCACUCGCCUCCUGUGACACAGCUCAAAUCUAAUGUAAGCUGUACUUUCAGGGUGAAUGCAACUUUCUUUAAUGUCAUUGAAUAAAUCAGCUUUCCUCGUCACAUUAAAUAAAAUGGGAUGUAACCCAAACAUAAUUGAUGUAGUCAUGUUUUAUCUUUUUAUUAUUAUAAUUAGUAGUAAUUAUUAGUAAUUGUAUUUCUCUUCAUAAUUUUAACCUGUUUUAAAAUGUGGAAUCAGAAGAGGUCCUGACAUCACUGACAUUCCGGAUAUUUACAUUUAGUCACAUUGGGCAUCUCUAAUAUUUUGGUAAUUUAAUUUCCAGAAAUAUUAUUUCUUUCUUAAUUUAUCCAUACAUCAAAACAUUUUCUUAAAUUAUAAUUUUGUUUAUCUAUGUCUAUAUAAUAUAGCCCUAGAUUCCCCUCUCGAAGCAGUAGAAUGAUUGAAUUUAUAUUUCACAUAUAAGCAGGCAAAUCUUUAAACGGAAACAUUUCUGCGUUUUAUAAUUCCAUAAAUAAAUCAUGCAUGUGCUAGGAUUUUCUGUUUGAGUUGAUUCUCACAUAGUCACCUUAACUAGCACUGAAGAGGUUUUUCUGUUCCUUUUGAUUUUUCCCUUCUGCCCCUAAAGUGAAUUUUAGGCAUCACAAUAAUCAUGUGAUUUGUGUUCAUAUUGUUAUUUAUUUUAACAAAUGCAGUC